rnacentral:rRNA from 1 species
UUCCAGUAAACUAACUAUGUUACGACUUACCUCUUCUUUAGAAGAGGGCGACGGGCGAUAUGUACACCUAAAUUCAACUUCGUUCUCAAUUUUUAUUAAAAAACUACUCCCAAAUCCUCUUUCAGUUUUUCUUUAGAAUAAGAUCCUUUAAUUAGUUUAAUGAGUAAUUAGCUUUGUCUUUACUAUAAUCUUCACCUUGACCUGACUUACGAAAAAAUGUUUGGGCAGAAGAUGGAAAUUCUACCUUUAGACGGCGGUAUAAAAGAAAGAAAUAAAGAGAAAGUAAACGGGAAAAAUCGAGGAAAAACAAAUUCCUCUGGUAAGAUAAAAGGCCGCCAAAAAG